rnacentral:rRNA from 1 species
UACGGGGGGAGCAAGCGUUGUUCGGAUUUACUGGGCGUAAAGGGCGCGUAGGCGGUCAGCACAAGUCAGUUGUGAAAUCUCCGGGCUUAACUCGGAAAGGUCAACUGAUACUGUGCGACUAGAGUGCAGAAGGGGCAACUGGAAUUCUCGGUGUAGCGGUGAAAUGCGUAGAUAUCGAGAGGAACACCUGCGGCGAAGGCGGGUUGCUGGGCUGACACUGACGCUGAAGAACGAAAGCCAGGGGAGCAAACGGG